rnacentral:lncRNA from 9 species
UUUUUUUUUUUUUUUUUUUUUUUUUUUUUGGUAUUAGUUAUUCACCCUAUUAACCAAAAUGAGAAUAUCUGAGUUUUUAAAAUAUUAUCAUUUUUUUUCAAAUCAGUGAGGCUGGGAGAAGGAUAUUGGCUCAGGGCAAUUUCUUGGUUUUGCACUUUGGUGGCCAUUUAUAAGAAAACUAUCUAGCAAAGUUGCCUCUAAUCCUUUUGAUUUCCAUAACACUCUAUGAUCCACUACCUCUAAGAGUGCACUGUUUAAUAUCUGUAUAAUAAUUUGACUCCUAUUUUGUCCAUGCUUCCUCUUUUGCUUUUGCAGCAUAUGGAGGUUCCCAGGAUAGGGGUCUGAUCGGAGCUGUAGCCAUUGGCCUAAGCCACAGCCACAGCAAUGCCAGAUCCGAGCCGCAUCUGUGACCUAUACCACAGCUCAUGGCAACGCCGAUCCUUAACCCACUGAGCAACGCCACGGAUCAAACCCACAAUCACACAGUUUCUAGUCGGAUUCAUUUCUGCUGCGCCAUGACAGGAACUCAUAAAAUAUUUUUAAAGCUUCUAGACAACAGAAACUUGAAUUCCUAUGUGAAUAUCUGGAAAUCUGUGUUGCAGAGCUAUUUGGCAAUUUCCCAUUUUCCCUUUCUGUGGUCAUUCACUUGUCAGAAUUUCUUUUUCCUUUUCUUCCCUUAUCAAAGUGAGGCCAUCCAAGACUCCGUGUCAUCAUGCUUAAUCCUAUCAGCCAUGGACGAAUACUUGUGGAAGUAAUUUAUGCAAAAGCGCUACUGGGUCCAAGCAUCUCCCUCCCAAGAUGUAUUUUUAAGAAGUUUAGAGGGAAUGAUGCUGUAAUGAGAGACCAGCAAAACAAGCACAAAGUCAACGUAAAGAAAAUAUUCUGAAAAACAGUUCUCAGAAACCUGAAACCUGAAAUUCUUGAGCAAUUAAAUCUGAAUUAGGCAAGGAAUACUGUCAGAGAUAUGUCACAGCAGGAAGAUGAGUAUGUAAAGAGCUCUUUAAAGGGGCGAACUUGCCAGGUAGGUGAGGAGAGUCUAGGAUGAUAUUUGGCAAGAUGUAUGUGCAAAGAAUCAGAUUAUGGAUUAUCUAAGGCUAGACAUCUGCCUAUCUAAAUUGAUAACAUGGCCAAUGUGUGUUGGACACAAUUGGAUUCUAAGUUUCCCAAUACUUAUCCUGAACUUAUUUUUUAAGAUUCUGUUUCCUGUGGCCACAGUUUUCUAUCACAUAGUAGAGGCAAAUAUUUAAUCAAUAAAGACCUGUUGACUCAAUGAAUCCUCUUCAUGAUCGCUACUUUUUUUUUUUACAUAUUGGUCCAGAUAUGUGGAUUUUUCUACACAGAGAAAUAUACUGCAUCAAAGAAUAUAAGAGCAGACCAUCCUGCCUCAGUGAUGGUUUAGAGAGGAAUACGUAGAUAAACAGAUAGACUGAUACAUUGAUACAUGAUAUAGUUGUAGUUGUUGUUGUUUCCUAAACAGAGAACAUUCUCCUACCCCAAACUGAACUUUAUAUGGAGCAGGAAUAUAUAAAAUAUACAAAAGUAGAGCUUGCACCUUUUUUUUUUUUUUAAUGUAUGCAGGACAUAGCUUCUCUUAUUAAUAAAUCCUAUGGUACUGUAACUGCUAGAAAGCUAUCCAUUGUUUUGGCUCAGUCAACCCUUUUUACAAGUAAAGGGUACUAAGGCCCUGGGGCAAAUUACCUAAACACACAGGAAUUUCUAAAGCUAGGGUAGGAACUAAUUCCCCCUGAUUCUGGCGUGGUGUUCUUUCUGGUACAUUAUACUGCUUGUUUACAUACCUCUGAAUUUAGCUCUUUCCUUUUAUUUCUUUUGAUUUGUUUACUUGCUUGCUGUUGGUUGGUUUAGGUGUUUUCAGGUUCUAACAUUGGCAAGCUACCACAGUAUGCUUUCUGAUUUAGUACUUUUUCCAGUCUUUAUUGUUGUCCCUAAAAAUCUAGUUUAUGCUAUUACUAACAAACUUUGGGUCAAAUAUCGAGCAAAACACAUUCACCAAGUUUAAUCGAUCUGAUCAAAAGUUGAAAGUAAUGUGGUUUGACACGUCACAACAAACCAUGGAGUCACAAAUUUGAAGAUAAAAAUCCUAUAAAAAACAAUUUACUUAACAUGUUCUCUACUUGGUUUCAUUCUUUUAUAAGACUGAAGUCAGUUAUGAUAAAGUUAUAUUUUUGCAAUUAAUUAAAAGCUACAAGUUGAUGGUGUUCUAAUGCAGGAUCCAUUGGUCAUGAAGGAAAUAAAAGGACCUCAGAUAUCUAAAGUGAAUUUUAAGGAGAGAAAAUAGCAGACAUAGGUGGAAAAUAUGGAAUUUUUAAAAACUACACUAGUAAUUAAGACAAUAUAAAAGUCUGGACUUUUGGUUAAAAAGAACAAAACAAAACAAAACAAAACACACUUUUAACUUACUAAGGGUACCCUCUAAAAGAUUUCAUCUUUACCUUUCCAAAAAAAAGGAUCAAAUUACCAUCUUCUCACUUGAAUAAAUUCACAACUGACACUCAGUGUGCAUGUUUUGGAGGUUGCUGAGAAACAGCUAAGACCUAAGCACAGCAUUACUUUAAAUGAUCACUAUACAUAAUUUAUCACUGAUCUUUGUUAUGUUAUUAUCAUUAAGAAGUUGGUUGGCUUCGUUUGGUCCUUAGAAAAGAAGUGACAGUAUUCCCUGUAAUACAGCAACACUGAUAGAUAUUUGAAAUUUUAAAGUUCAGUAAAUUAAACCAAAAUCUUACAUUUCCAAAAGGCUGAAAACUAUAGAUAGAUAUAUUUCAGAUAAAUUAUAUUCUUUAGAUGGCCAUAAUGAAAGUGAUGAAGCUGGUGUCAGCUUGAGGACAUUUAGCUCUGGGACUCAGUGAGUCGAUAUGUAGCGAGAAUGGGAUCCCAGGAGUCAGACAGCCUGGCUUGGAUCUCAGCUCUAUUGGUGUAACUCUAGAUUGGUAGCUGAAUUCUCUAACUCACAGUUCCUUUACUUGGUGGACACUAGUAUAAAUGAGGGUGUGUUGUGUGGACACUAGUAUAAACGAGGACACUAUUAACACAUAGAGUCCCUAGGAAUGUGUAAAGUGCAUUCUUGAUAAAAUAAAGGGGUUGUGAUAGUCAUUGUCACUACUUAAAAAGAAUUUGAUUUCCAAAAUAAAUCCUAUUUAUAAAUCCUAUAUAAAUCCUAUUUACAAAAUAGGUUAUAAAAUAUUGAGUACUUUACUCAGUCAUUUGUUUGCAUUUCAAAACAACCCACAACGUAGUAUGAAAGUAUAGAGAUUAUACACUUUUUUGUGUACAGGUGACCCUUGAACAAUGCAGGGGUUAGGGGUGCUGACCCUCUGUGAAGUCUAAAGUCUAUAUACAACUUUACAGUGGACUCUCUCUGGGGGUCCAACCAACCUCAGAUCAUGAAACACUGUAGUAAAUAUUUAUUAGAAAGAAAUUUGCAGGAGUUCCCCUGUGGCUAAGCAGGUUAAGGAUCCUAGCCCAGUGUUGUUCCUGUUGUGCCUUGGGUCACUACUGUGGUGCAGGUUUGAUCCCUGGCCCAGGAACUUCUGCAUGUGGUGAGUGUAGACCAAAAAAACAAAACAAACAAAAAGAAAUCUGCAUGUAAGUGGACCCAUGCAGCUCAAACCUGUGUUAUUCAAGGGUCAACUCUAUUUCAUUUUUACAAAUUAAAGAUUAUAGAUUCAUAUGAAGAGCAAAACAAAAUACUGAAUCAUCUAUUGUGAAAGACCUGCCCCCAAACCCUUUGUUGUUAUGGUUUUUGUUUAUUGUUACUGGUGUGCUCUCAUGUGCAUACAGAGACUGAAAGAGGAUAAGGGACUUGCUCGGAUGCACACCAUUACCUGUUGGUCCUCUGUGGCCCAGUUUCUAUCCAUCUUCCACCCAGGGCCAAGGGUAGCAAAGGAAGAGGCUCAAAGCCAAGAGUCAGGCCCAGGGACACAUGUCAACCCAGCUGGCAAGGAAGCACUCUGUAGCAGUUUUCUCCCACGCCCUAACCCGUUCGACAUUUCUCCAGUAAAUACUGGAAAGAGAUGAACUCAACUCCCACAGGCUUGGAAAUGGAGCAUAUCUCCCCGUGCUUUUGCCCAACAGGGUGAGCAAAGCUGGAUCACAGUCUAGGGCCAUUACUUCCAAAGGGAGCGACGCAUGGCGUCUGACCACCAGUCACCAAGGAAACAUUUCUUAAAAGGCCACUGCUGUGAAAACGCGAUAUGAAAGCAGAAACAUUUUGAUUCUCAUGGAAAAUAGCUCAGUAAACAUUCCAUCCUAUUUCACAGCAAAUAUGUUCCACCCACUUGCCCACAACCCUUGUCUGCUCUCCUCUGGGGUACUUUCAGCUUUUAAAAAAUUGAAUAAAAAUAAAAGAAAACAAUAAAUAACUUCCUUCCUUCCUUCCCUUCCUUCCUUCUUUCCUUUCUUCCAUCCCACCGCCCCCCUUCUUUCUCUCCUUUUCAAAUUUCCAUAUGGCUAGGGUUUCUUUUAAUAACUCUAGUCCCAUUAUACUCAGUAGUACUUAAUGGAAAAACAGCCGCUCCCAUUGCUGGAAAAGGUAAAACUCAAUUCAUGAUUAAUGCUUUCAAGAUACCCAGAAAAAAAAAAAAAAUCAAGGUUAUUACUAGAAAGUCAGAUCAGUCCCUUUGUAUUCAUUCCAACAGCUGUUUGACAUGAAUGGAGGCCAAGUAAGGAAAGUUCAGGUAAAUAUGUCAAUUUAGCUGAGUUAUUCAGGGGUCAAAGAGGGGUUGGGUACUUGUGGGGGGAUGGUGUUCCAUUUAUCCUUAAAAGGAAAUUUUUAAUGUAAAAAAGGAAGCCUCCUUGUUUUAUAGAUCAUAUUUUAGACACAGAAAAAUGUGACCAUUUUAUGCUUGCAUUACACCAGAGAAUGCGUGGCUAAAUUAAGAGCCUUGCUCAGGGUCCCGACUGGCCAGUGAACCCAUCAAAAUCAGAGGCCUGGCCCCUUUGUG